GAUGAACGCUGGCGGCGUGCCUAAUACAUGCAAGUCGAGCGAACGGACGAGAAGCUUGCUUCUCUGAUGUUAGCGGCGGACGGGUGAGUAACACGUGGAUAACCUCCUUAUAAGACUGGGAUAACUUCGGGAAACCGGAGCUAAUACCGGAUAAUAUUUUGAACCGCAUGGUUCAAAAGUGAAAGACGGUCUUUCUGUCACUUAUAGAUGGAUCCGCGCUGCAUUAGCUAGUUGGUAAGUUAACGGCUUACCAAGGCAACGAUGCAUAGCCGACCUGAGAGGGUGAUCGGCCACACUGGAACUGAGACACGGUCCAGACUCCUACGGGAGGCAGCAGUAGGGAAUCUUCCGCAAUGGGCGAAAGCCUGACGGAGCAACGCCGCGUGAGUGAUGAAGGUCUUCGGAUCGUAAAACUCUGUUAUUAGGGAAGAACAUAUGUGUAAGUAACUGUGCACAUCUUGACGGUACCUAAUCAGAAAGCCACGGCUAACUACGUG
rnacentral:rRNA from 1 species